rnacentral:rRNA from 4 species
UGUUUCGGCUAGGGGGCCAUCCCGGCUUACCAACCCGAUGCAAACUGCGAAUACCGGAGAAUGUUAUCACGGGAGACACACGGCGGGUGCUAACGUCCGUCGUGAAGAGGGAAACAACCCAGACCGCCAGCUAAGGUCCCAAAGUCAUGGUUAAGUGGGAAACGAUGUGGGAAGGCCCAGACAGCCAGGAUGUUGGCUUAGAAGCAGCCAUCAUUUAAAGAAAGCGUAAUAGCUCACUGGUCGAGUCGGCCUGCGCGGAAGAUGUAACGGGGCUAAACCAUGCACCGAAGCUGCGGCAGCGACACUUUAGUGUUGUUGGGUAGGGGAGCGUUCUGUAAGCCGUUGAAGGUGUCCUGUGAGGGGUGCUGGAGGUAUCAGAAGUGCGAAUGCUGACAUAAGUAACGAUAAAGCGGGUGAAAAGCCCGCUCGCCGGAAGACCAAGGGUUCCUGUCCAACGUUAAUCGGGGCAGGGUGAGUCGACCCCUAAGGCGAGGCCGAAAGGCGUAGUCGAUGGGAAACGGGUUAAUAUUCCCGUACUUGGUGUUACUGCGAAGGGGGGACGGAGAAGG